CCGAGUUAUCAACUCCCAAACCCCUGUGAACAUACCUUUUGUUGCCUCGGCGGGAUCGCCCCGGCGCCUCCGGGCCCGGAACCAGGCGCCCGCCGCAGGACCCAAACUCUUGUUUUCUAUAUGAAUCUUCUGAGUGACACAAGCAAAUAAAUUAAAACUUUCAACAACGGAUCUCUUGGUUCUGGCAUCGAUGAAGAACGCAGCGAAAUGCGAUAAGUAAUGUGAAUUGCAGAAUUCAGUGAAUCAUCGAAUCUUUGAACGCACAUUGCGCCCGGCAGUAUUCUGCCGGGCAUGCCUGUUCGAGCGUCAUUUCAACCCUCAAGCCCCCGGGCUUGGUGUUGGAGAUCGGCCCGCCCCCGUGGCAGGCCGGCUCCGAAAUCUAGUGGCGGUCCCGCUGUAGCCUCCUCUGCGUAGUAGCAAUAUCUCGCACCGGAACGCGGCGGAGCCUUGCCGUAAAACCCCCAACUUCUGAAGGUUGACCUCGGAUCAGGUAGGAAUACCCGCUGAACUUAAGCAUAUCAAUAAGCGGAGGACGUACGCUUGGUCAUUUAGAGGAAGUAAAAGUCGUAACAAGGUUUCCGUAGGUGAACCUGCGGAAGGAUCACUAGUGAUUAAAUCGAGCGUGUCUUCAUUGACCGCUCACCCUUCUCACCAUCCACAUACACCUGUGCACUGUUUAGCCUGAGCCGGUUUUCCGGUCCAGGUUAUCAUUUCAUACAAACUCUAGUCUUAUGAAUGUAAACGUUUUAAUAACAUAAUA
rnacentral:misc_RNA from 1 species